GACAGAGGGUGCAAGCGUUGUUCGGAAUUACUGGGCGUAAAGCGUGCGCAGGCGGUUGUGUAAGACAGGUGUGAAAUCCCCGGGCUUAACCUGGGAAUGGCAUUUGUGACUGCACGGCUAGAGUGUGUCAGAGGGGGGUAGAAUUCCACGUGUAGCAGUGAAAUGCGUAGAGAUGUGGAGGAAUACCGAUGGCGAAGGCAGCCCCCUGGGAUAACACUGACGCUCAUGCACGAAAGCGUGGGGAGCAAACAGG
rnacentral:rRNA from 1 species